rnacentral:rRNA from 1 species
GUGGGGAAUAUUGGACAAUGGGGGGAACCCUGAUCCAGCCAUGCCGCGUGUGUGAAGAAGGCCUUUUGGUUGUAAAGCACUUUAAGCGAGGAGGAGGCUACCGAGAUUAAUACUCUUGGAUAGUGGACGUUACUCGCAGAAUAAGCACCGGCUAACUCUGUGCCAGCAGCCGCGGUAAUACAGAGGGUGCAAGCGUUAAUCGGAUUUACUGGGCGUAAAGCGCGCGUAGGUGGCCUAUUAAGUCAAAUGUGAAAUCCCCGAGCUUAACUUGGAAAUUGCAUUCGAUACUGGUUGGCUAGAGUAUGGGAGAGGAUGGUAGAAUUCCAGGUGUAGCGGUGAAAUGCGUAGAGAUCUGGAGGAAUACCGAUGGCGAAGGCAGCCAUCUGGCCUAAUACUGACACUGAGGUGCGAAAGCAUGGGGAGCAAACAGGAUUAGAAACCCCGGUAGUCC